UACGUAGGGCGCAAGCGUUGUCCGGAAUUAUUGGGCGUAAAGAGCUCGUAGGCGGCUUGUCACGUCGAUUGUGAAAGCCCGAGGCUUAACCUCGGGUCUGCAGUCGAUACGGGCUGGCUAGAGGUAGGUAGGGGAGAACGGAAUUCCUGGUGUAGCGGUGAAAUGCGCAGAUAUCAGGAGGAACACCGGUGGCGAAGGCGGUUCUCUGGGCCUUACCUGACGCUGAGGAGCGAAAGCGUGGGGAGCGAACAGG
rnacentral:rRNA from 1 species